ACUUAAAUAGCUUAGUUAGAGCGUAAUAUUGAAGAUAUUAAGGCAAUUUGAAAAUUUUUAAGUA
rnacentral:tRNA from 1 species